rnacentral:rRNA from 1 species
UACGAAGGGGGCUAGCGUUGUUCGGAUUUACUGGGCGUAAAGCGCACGUAGGCGGUUUGUUAAGUGAGAGGUGAAAUCCCAGAGCUCAACUCUGGAACUGCCUUUCAUACUGGCAAGCUAGAGUCCGGAAGAGGUGAGUGGAACUCCUAGUGUAGAGGUGGAAUUCGUAGAUAUUAGGAAGAACACCAGUGGCGAAGGCGGCUUACUGGUCCGGAACUGACGCUGAGGUGCGAAAGCGUGGGGAGCAAACAGG